AAGAGUGAAGUGCUGUUUUCCUGAGGAACCCACUUCAGAACCUAGUUGACCUCACUGGCUCCUACAGUUUGGUUUCUGGGAAGAGUGGGCCUUGCUGGACACAACCCAGAGAAAACUGUUCAGAGAUGUUAUGCUGGAGAAUAUCAAUCAUCUGGUGACUGUGG